rnacentral:rRNA from 1 species
AUUGAACGCUGGCGGCAUGCUUUACACAUGCAAGUCGAACGGCAGCGCGGGCUUCGGCCUGGCGGCGAGUGGCGAACGGGUGAGUAAUACAUCGGAACGUGCCCAGUAGUGGGGGAUAGCUCGGCGAAAGCCGGAUUAAUACCGCAUACGACCUGAGGGUGAAAGCGGGGGAUCUUCGGACCUCGCGCUAUUGGAGCGGCCGAUGGCAGAUUAGCUAGUUGGUGGGGUAAAGGCCUACCAAGGCGACGAUCUGUAGCUGGUCUGAGAGGACGACCAGCCACACUGGGACUGAGACACGGCCCAGACUCCUACGGGAGGCAGCAGUGGGGAAUUUUGGACAAUGGGCGAAAGCCUGAUCCAGCAAUGCCGCGUGUGUGAUGAAGGCCUUCGGGUUGUAAAGCACUUUUGGCUGGAACGAAAAGGACUGUGCCAAUACCACGGUUCGAUGACGGUACCCGCAGAAUAAGCACCGGCUAACUACGUG